UGGGGAAUCUUCCGCAAUGGACGAAAGUCUGACGGAGCAACGCCGCGUGUAUGACGAAGGCCUUCGGGUUGUAAAGUACUGUCUUUGGGGACGAACGGCAGGUGUGAGAAUAUUGCACUUGCAUGACGGUACCCAAGGAGGAAGCCCCGGCUAACUACGUGCCAGCAGCCGCGGUAAUACGUAGGGGGCGAGCGUUGUCCGGAAUCAUUGGGCGUAAAGGGCGCGUAGGCGGGUCAUUAAAGUCUGGUGUGAAAAGGCAGGGGCUCAACCCCUGGAAGGCACCGGAAAACUGGUUAUCUUGAGGACAGGAGAGGAAAGCGGAAUUCCACGUGUAGCGGUGAAAUGCGUAGAUAUGUGGAGGAACACCAGUGGCGAAGGCGGCUUUCUGGACUGUAAACUGACGCUGAGGCGCGAAAAGCGUGGGGGAGCAAAACAGGAUUAGAUACCCUGGUAGUCCACGCCGUAAAACGAUGAGUGCUAGGUGUAGAGGGUAUCGACCCCCUUCUGUGCCGCAGUUAAACACAAUAAAGCACUCCGCCUGGGGAGUACGGCCGCAAGGUUGAAAACUCAAAAAGGAAUUGACGGGGGUCAAUAGCUG
rnacentral:rRNA from 1 species